rnacentral:rRNA from 1 species
CAAUCGCGUAUAUUAAAGUUGUUGCGGUUAAAAAGCUCGUGGUUGGAUUUCUGCCGAGGACGACCGGUCCGCCCUCUGGGUGAGUAUCUGGCUCGACCUGGGCAUCCUUCCAGAGAAUGUGUCUGCUCUUGACUGAGUGGUGCAGUAUCUGGAACUUUUACGUUGAGGAAAUUAGAGUGUUUCAAGCAGGCAUACGCCCUGAAUACAUUCGCAUGGAAUAAUAAGAUAGGACCUCGGUUCUAUGUUGUUGUUUUGGGAGCUGAGGUAAUGAUUAAUAGGGAUAGUUGGGGGCAUUUAUAUUUAACUGUCAGAGGUGAAAUUCUUGGAUUCGUUAAAGACGGACUACUGCAAAAGCAUUUGCCAAGGAUGUUUUCAUUGAUCAAGAACGAAGGUCAGGGAUCGAAGACGAUUAGAUACCAU